rnacentral:tRNA from 1 species
GCGCCCGUAGCUCAGCUGGAUAGAGCAUUGGCCUCCGGAGCCAAAGGUCGAAGGUUCGAAUCCUUUCGGGCGCGCCA